rnacentral:rRNA from 1 species
GCUCCUAUCGACAAGCGGGUUUACGACCUCGAUGUUGGAUCAGGGUACCCAAGUGGUGCAGCCGCUACUAAAGGUUCGUUUGUUCAACGAUUAAAACCCUACGUGAUCUGAGUUCAGACCGGAGUAAUCCAGGUCGGUUUCUAUCUAUAAAGGGCUUUUUCUAGUACGAAAGGACCGAAAAAGCACGGCCCAUGCCCAAAGUAAGCCGCACCAAUGAUUUAUGAUUAAAACUCAAUAAACAGUCGACCUCCCACUCUAUUCUAGACAAGAAU